rnacentral:rRNA from 1 species
CCUACGGGAGGCAGCAGUGGGGGAUAUUGCACAAUGGGGGAAACCCUGAUGCAGCGACGCCGCGUGGGUGAAGAAGCGCCUCGGCGCGUAAAGCCCUGUCAGCAGGGAAGAAAAUGACGGUACCUGAAGAAGAAGCCCCGGCUAACUACGUGCCAGCAGCCCCGGUAAUACGUAGGGGGCAAGCGUUAUCCGGAUUUACUGGGUGUAAAGGGGGCGCAGACGGCGAUGCAAGCCAGGAGUGAAAGCCCGGGGCCCAACCCCGGGACUGCUCUUGGAACUGCGUGGCUAGAGUGCAGGAGGGGCAGGCGGAAUUCCUGGUGGAGCGGUGAAAUGCGUAGAUAUCAGGAGGAAUACCGGUGGCGAAGGCGGCCUGCUGGACUGCAACUGACGUUGAGGCCCGAAAGCGUGGGGAGCAAACAGGAUUAGAUACCCCUGUAGUC